UUACUAUGAUGAAAAAACUUAUAUUCAGUUCUGCUUCUGAACCAAAAAAUUCUGAAGAUAACCCAUUACCAAAAGCUUACUUUUCUGACGU
rnacentral:snoRNA from 1 species